GUGAGCUUUCUUCAGGAGGCAAGAAUAAUGCCAAGCCCGCAUCUUUACAGCCUGCUGUCCCAAGGAAUUAAAACAAUAACAGGAGAAUGGAAUAUCAGGACAGGGAAACAAGGAAAAACAUUAUCAUAGUGGUCCAGAACAAAGGGGAGCUGAUGAAGAAUUCUAGAACUGGAAGACAUAGUCAGGCUCAGAACAUCUGAAAAUCAAGAUAAAACUCUCCUUCAUAAAAUGCCCGGAAAACUGAGUGCAUUUUAAGAAACCAAAAGAUAGCAGCAAAGUCAACAUGAAACUAAAGACAGACACUUGUCUGCAAACUAACAAUAAAAUUGAAAUGGAUCCUGAGAAGAAGGAAUAAGUAAAAAGCAUCAUGUGAAAGCAACUAAAUUCUGCAUCUUCCUUACCCAGUUGAGUCAGUAUUUCCUCUUUUCCUCAAAAGAAAAGCUACUUAAGAAAAAGUUCUCAGUGGUACUUUUGCUAUUUUCAGUCAGACUGCCAGUUAGGUAUAAAUGAAAAAUGUAUUUGUUCACGUACUAUAAAUUGGGAGAGAAAUUUGGGGAUGGGAUUGGUAACCUGACAAGAGAAAAUGAAUGGGAUGAGAGAGAAGCAUUGAAACUUAACAACAGACUAUUUGUCUUGUCGCUUUAUUGUCUCCAUAUGGAGCUAUUAAAAUAGAACAGCGCAGAAAC
rnacentral:lncRNA from 1 species